UGGUGAUAUCACAUUGUAACACCAGUUCUCAUCUAAUCACCAAAGUUAAGCAACAUUGUGCAUAGUCAGUACUUUGAUGGGGUGUCUACUGAGGAAUGCCAGGUGCU